rnacentral:lncRNA from 1 species
GAAUUUGUGUGCCCAUGGUAGGAUGCAAUAAAAAGAACUCACCAUCACUUUUGUGAUAUUCCUGUCUGUAUUUGUGAUGUACCUUAAGCCAACAUUUAUUAUGUCACAGUUUCUGGAGGUCAGGGAUCUGAGAGGGGCUUAGUUUAGUGGUUCUGGUUCCAGGUGUCCCAGGAGGUUGCAGUCAAUCUGUUGGUUACAGCUACUGUCAACUCAAGGCUUAACGGAGGCUGGAGAAUCCUCUUCCAAGUUUACUCACUUGGUUGACAGGCUCCAAUUUCUCACUAGUUGUUGGCUGGACACAUCAGUUCCUUACGGGCCUAUCCAUAUGGCUGCUCACAACAUGGAAGCUAGUUUCCUGGAGCAAGUGAUCCAAGAGAUAACUUUCACAACCUAAUCACUUCUGCUGUAUGCUCGUGGUCACAAAGACCAAUCCCGGUACAAUGUGGGAGGAGAUUACAAGAGGAUAUGAAUAACAGGAGGUGGGGCCAACUUGAAGUCAUAAAAAUCAAGGAAGAGUGGAGAAGUGUACCAGAAUGAAAAAAGCUAAAGAGACAUGACAACUAAAUGCAACAUCAGAUGCUGGACUGGAUCCCUUUGCAAUUAAGGACAUUUUAGGGAGUACUGGCAAAAACUUGAAUGGGUUCGAGGAUUAGAAAGUUGCAGUGUACUGAGGUUAAUUUCCC